rnacentral:rRNA from 1 species
UCCAGACUCCUACGGGAGGCAGCAGUGGGGAAUAUUGGGCAAUGGAGGAAACUCUUACCCAGCAAUGCCGCGUGAAUGAAGAAGGUCUUCGGAUUGUAAAGUUCUUUAAUUGGGGACGAAAAAAAUGACGGUACCCAAGGAAUAAGCCCCGGCUAACUACGUGCCAGCAGCCGCGGUAAUACGUAGGUGGCAAGCGUUAUCCGGAUUUACUGGGUGUAAAGGGCGUGUAGGCGGGACUGCAAGUCAGAUGUGAAAACCAUGGGCUCAACCUAUGGCCUGCAUUUGAAACUGUAGUUCUUGAGUACUGGAGAGGCAGACGGAAUUCCUAGUGUAGCGGUGAAAUGCGUAGAUAUACGGAGGAACACCAGUGGCGAAGGCGGCCUGCUGGACAUUAACUGACGCUGAGGCGCGAAAGCGUGGGGAGCAAACAGGAUUAGAUACCCGAGUAA